rnacentral:rRNA from 1 species
AACGAACGCUGGCGGCAGGCCUAACACAUGCAAGUCGAACGCUGUAGCAAUACAGAGUGGCAGACGGGUGAGUAACGCGUGGGAACCUUCCCAAUGGUACGGAAUAGCUCAGGGAAACUUGAGGUAAUACCGUAUAAGCCCCUAGGGGGAAAGAUUUAUCGCCAUUGGAUGGGCCCGCGUCGGAUUAGCUAGUUGGUGAGGUAAUGGCUCACCAAGGCGACGAUCCGUAGCUGGUUUGAGAGAAUGACCAGCCACACUGGGACUGAGACACGGCCCAGACUCCUACGGGAGGCAGCAGUGGGGAAUCUUGGACAAUGGGCGAAAGCCUGAUCCAGCCAUGCCGCGUGAGUGACGAAGGCCUUAGGGUUGUAAAGCUCUUUUGCCGGGGACGAUAAUGACGGUACCAGAAGAAGAAGCCCCGGCUAACUACGUGCCAGCAGCCGCAGUAACAC